rnacentral:rRNA from 1 species
CCUACGGGAUGCACCAGUGGGAAAUAUUGCACAAUGGGCGCAAGCCUGAUGCAGCCAUGCCGCGUGUAUGAAGAGGGCCUUCGGGUUGUAAAGUACUUUCAGCGAGGAGGAAGGCGUUAAGGUUAAUAACCUUAGUGAUUGACGUUACUCGCAGAAGAAGCACUGGCUAACUCCGUGCCAGCAGCCGCGGUAAUACGGAGGGUGCAAGCGUUAAUCGGAAUUACUGGGCGUAAAGCGCACGCAGGCGGUCUGUCAAGUCGGAUGUGAAAUCCCUGGGCUCAACCUGGGAACUGCAUUCGAAACUGGCAGGCUAGAGUCUUGUAGAGGGGGGUAGAAUUCCAGGUGUAGCGGUGAAAUGCGUAGAGAUCUGGAGGAAUACCGGUGGCGAAGGCGGCCCCCUGGACAAAGACUGACGCUCAGGUGCGAAAGCGUGGGGAGCAAACAGGAUUAGAUACCCUCGUAGUC